UUUCCUUAGUAGGUUACGUCAGAGUUCAGCAUGUGGGAGAGGUUGGCGCGCAAGGAUGAUAGACGAGUUUCCCACCAGUAAUUACGAGUUUGAGGGGCGUUCAAGUGGAUGCUUCACAGUCUUAUGUGUCCAUCUGUCUCUCCAUGAUAGCUUAUUGGACAGAGGUACAGCUCAGUUACACAGCAUCGACCCUGUUUGAACUGCUAGUGCCUCAUCUCAUCUCCCUCCAAACAACUGACUGCUGUCAUCUUCCAUGGCUCUGUAAUAUUUGUGUGUGUGUCUGUUUGGGUGUCAGUUUAUCGCCCUCUGUCCGUGUGUGUGUGUUUGUCUGUGAGAGAAAGCGAUUCAGUUUCUCUUUCCCUGCGAUGCCACUGCUGCCUAAGGAGGCAGAACGAUUCGAUGGGCUAUCUCUACUUUAUUGGUAUGUCCAUCUUUCUCAUUUUCAUCCUCUGUUGCUUAAUUAAUCAUCCUCUUCCUCACUCUU